AUCAGACCUUUAAAUGCUUGAAGACAGCUAUUAUGCAUCCCUGAAAUCUUCUCCAAAGGGAUACCCAUGGGUAAUUGUAGCCUUUAAGGCUGCCAGAACUGAAAAAUAAAGGAUGUGAUCUACUCAAAACAUAUAAACAAAGUCUGAAAACUGGAAGUAAAGGCCGGAACCCAGCAAUGACAUUGAAAAUUGCUGUCAUGUGACAGCGAGAUGCUACAAAUAGCCAUAAAGGACUGCUUUGUUCAUCAGUCUAAAGAUAACAAUACAAUGAAUUAUGUAUGAAGUCAAGGGAAGGAAAGCACAAAAGAAGAAAUGCCAAUUCCUUGAAAUGCACAGCACAAACUACUCAGUUCCUAGUUCAUCAAUCUGUACCAUGUUGUGGAUAAAGACUUGCUUUCAACUUUCAGCUUGCUCCAUUUUCAUUGCUGUUAUGCAGCUAAUAAUUAAUAUAGACUAAAAAUGUUAUUGUGUUUUAAAAAGUUAAUAAAAUGAAGCUAUAUCAACAAA